AUGCCUAGCUAGUCUGGCUGCUUUUGUGAUAUCACAAUGUCAAGUCACUGCUGCUCACUUCUUUCACCAGGGAACCUACAAUGUAAAUAUCUCAGUGUGCAUUUCAAUACUACCUAUUCCUUUCACUGCUGAGAAUGGAGAAAUCUCCACCUGAACAUCAAAUUGGCCCCAUGGAGAAGUUGCAUGUUUCUGUGGAACUUUGAGUUUGCCCCUAUAAGAUAGGUGCUUUUGUUCUCAUUUUUAGAUGAGGAAACGGGUCCUGGAAGGUAAGAGAGCAUUCAACUUAGGGUGGAGGAGGAGAAUCUGAAUAGGGCUGACAAGUUCCUUGGUGUGUUACCUGCUUCUGCCGCUGAUGCAAACUGCAGAACUUCUCAUUCAUCCCCAUGGCCUCCAGGCAGUAUCCAAUGGGGAGUCAGCUCUAAAAGGAACCCAACCAACGUUUCCUAGCCCCUUCAUUCUGGUGACUGAUGGAAAGAAAGAGUGAGAGGGACAAUAUAUAUGAAUACUGCAUGAAAAAGAAACAGACCAGCAAAUUACUAUAUAUUUUCCUUAUCUGAAGCCAUGUUAAUUGUAUUGUGUGUAUAUAUCUGGGGAAGUUGGAGAUGAUGAACUUCAUUAGAAGUGACUAGAACAAACAGGGUAAGAGUCAGUUGAUUUUGAAAGAUGUUGAUGUUUUGAAAUAAUGUGUUACUUCUAUGUGAGGAAAGGAUAGAAAACGUUCAGGACAUCAUCUUACAGACUCAUCUACAAAAUUGCAAUAGCAGUGACAUCUACACAGAAGACCUGUAACUGCAAACAGGAUGAGGUUACCUCAGUGACAUCUCUUGAUGCUGCUCAAACAAGUUUGAUUUUUGUUUGGGGGGGUGCA